GCGUUGCUCGGAAUCACUGGGCGUAAAGGGUGCGUAGGCGGGUCUUUUAAGUCAGGGGUGAAAUCCUGGAGCUCAACUCCAGAACUGCCUUUGAUACUGAAGAUCUUGAGUUCGGGAGAGGUGAGUGGAACUGCGAGUGUAGAGGUGAAAUUCGUAGAUAUUCGCAAGAACACCAGUGGCGAAGGCGGCUCACUGGCCCGAUACUGACGCUGAGGCACGAAAGCCAGGGAGCAAACGGG
rnacentral:rRNA from 1 species